UCCAGAAUCAAAAAGACUACGCACACUUUGAUCACCUGCAUCUCAUUCAAGGCGAAAUUACGGCGCCGGGGUCCCGGGCUUCUCGACAUGUGAGCGAGAUGGAAGCUUAUUAUGGCGAACGCAGAGGCAGACAGAGAAAUGAAAGAGGGCUUUGUCAGAGCUUUGAUUACAGUACGGCAUUGUGACGACUGUUAAGAAGAGUAGGAGCAAUUACAGCGGAGAGAGAGGGGGAGAGAGAGAGGGAGGGAGGGAGAGAGAGAGAGGGAGGGGGAGAGAGGGAGGGAGAGAGGGGGAGACAAAGGGACCAGGAGACAGGUGAGGAAACGACCAAAUUAACUGACAAAUCAACUUCUUAUGUCAAUGAAAUCAUCAUCAGUGAUUAUACCAGAGAGGGGGAGAGAGAGGGGGAGAGAGGGGGAGAGGGGGAGGGAGAGAGAGAGAGGGGGAGGGGGGAGAGGGAGAGAGAGAGAGAGGGAGGGAGAGAGAAGAGAGAGGGAGAGAGAAGGGGAGAGGGAGAAGGAGAGAGGGGGAGAGAGAGGGGGAGAGAGGGAGGGAGAGAGGGGGAGACAAAGGGACCAGGAGACAGGUGAGGAAACGACCAAAUUAACUGACAAAUCAACUUCUUAUGUCAAUGAAAUCAUCAUCAGUGAUUAUACCAGAGAGGGGGAGAGAGAGGGGGAGAGAGAAGGGGAGAGGGAGGGAGAGAGAGAGAAGGGGAGAGAGAGAGUGGGGGAGAGAGAGAGAGAGGGGGAGAGAGAGGAGGGGGAGGAGAAGGGGAGAGAGAGAGGAGGGGGAGGAGAAGGGGAGAGAGAGAGAGGGAGAGAGAGAGGGGGAGAGGGAGAGAGAGGAGGGGGAGGAGAAGGGGAGAGAGGGAGAGAGAGGAGGGGGAGGAGAAGGGGAGAGAGAGAGGGGGAGAGGGAGAGAGAGAGGGGGAGAGAAGGGGAGAGGGGGAGAGGGAGAGAGAGAGAGGGGGAGAGAGAGGGGGGGGGAGGAGAAGGGGAGAGAGAGGAGGGGGGAGGAGAAGGGGAGAGGGAGAGAGAGACGGGGAGAGGGAGAGAAGGGGAGAGAGAGAGGAGGGGGGAGAGAGAGGAGGGGGGAGGAGAAGGGGAGAGAGAGGAGGGGGGAGGAGAAGGGGAGAGGGAGAGGAGGGGGGAGGAGAAGGGGAGAGAGAGAAAGAGAGAGGGAGAGAGAGAGAGAAGGGGAGAGAUGGACUUUGGAUUAUGGACUACAGCGGGGGGUCACAGCUCAAGGAAGAACAUUUUUGAACAUAACCUUUUGUAGUUUUUAAAUAGGCUCUUAAAACUCAUUUAAACUUUUAAGUGUUUAAAUAUGAAUUUUAAAACCUUUAUAACUCAUUUUAGUUUUUAAAUAGGCUCUUAAAACUUUCUAAAAUCAUUUCUUCAUCAUUUCCUUGAAGUAAUAAUCAUCAUAUUAAUAAUUUUACAGACGCGGUAGUUCUUCUGUCUUAGCGUCUCGGUCUGAUUGUAUUUCCAUGAAGAAAUGAUCAUAAAUGUUCUUCCUUGAGCUGCGGCACCCCGCUGUAGUCUGUAAUGGACUGACCUGAGGUCUCUCUACAAACAAGCGUCUGCUGGAAGAGAGUAGGUGAGUUGUGUUUAGUCUCUUUGUUAAAGAAAUGAGUCAAAGUUAAAAAGAUGUUUGGUGUCUAGUACUAUGACUGUGACCCUAUAUGUCCUGUUGAUGAAGUUAGCUGCUGUUCUGAGCAUUAUUUGUGGCUAUAGAGUGGCGUUUUGGUUGGGGGCGUGGCUCUCUGUAUUUAUAUCCUGUGGUCGUUACUAAAGUUGGUAUAACUAGAGAAGCAAGCGGUCGACAACAUUCAUCUCUGGAGGGGGGCGGGGUCUAACUCGGUGUUACGGUGGGUUUGACUCUAAAGUAAUUUUACGUCAGAAUAUCCCUUUAACCCUUUAACCAUCAGUGUGUUGGUCAUGUGAUGAAAACGGUGAAGAAACAUCUUUUCUCCGAGGUUUCGGCAGGUGGAGGUGAGAGUUUCCGAUGUUUGUCGAGAGUCAAACUGAAGAUCGUCUUCUUCUCUCUGAUUGGCAGAGUAACGACGUGACUCUGCAGAACCUCCGUCUGAACGCCAAAUAUUGACUCAGAGCCGUCGACAGGUGGGUGAAGACGAGCGUUACUGUGUGUGUGUGUGUGUGUGUGUGUGUGUGUGUGUGUGUGUGUGUGUGUGUGUGUGCGCCCGUUUCUCCUCGGGGACGCCUGCUUGGCGAACACCUCACAGUAAACAAGACAACCGGUGACAAUAUGCUAAUGAGCCCAUUCAUUAUUCUGCUGCAACAAGCCCCGCCCCCUCCCCCCUCCUCGCCAAAGACUCCUCUCAUCUCCAACAUCUCCAUUACAGCUCCCAUUUCACAGCCCCGCCCCUCCCGCCGUCGACACUGCCUGAUUAAUGUAUCAUCAAGCGUUCUUCCUUCAUCAAUCUCCACGCAGAGGUGACGCUCGUGUGAGAGCGCCGCCAGAUUAGGCCGCACCA